AGAGUUUGAUCCUGGCUCAGGACGAACGCUGCGGCGUGCCUAAUACAUGCAAGUAGAACGCUGAAGAAAGGAGCUUGCUUCUUUUGGAUGAGUUGCGAACGGGUGAGUAACGCGUAGGUAACCCGCCUUGUAGCGGGGGAUAACUAUUGGAAACGAUAGCUAAUACCGCAUAACAGCUUUUGACACAUGUUAGAAGCUUGAAAGAUGCAAUUGCAUCACUACGAGAUGGACCUGCGCUGUAUUAGCUAGUAGGUAGGGUAACGGCCUACCUAGGCGACGAUACAUAGCCGACCUGAGAGGGUGAUCGGCCACACUGGGACUGAGACACGGCCCAGACUCCUACGGGAGGCAGCAGUAGGGAAUCUUCGGCAAUGGGGGCAACCCUGACCGAGCAACGCCGCGUGAGUGAAGAAGGUUUUCGGAUCGUAAAGCUCUGUUGUAGGAGAAGAACGUGUGUGAGAGUGGAAAGUUCACACAGUGACGGUAACUUACCAGAAAGGGACGGCUAACUACGUGCCAGCAGCCGCGGUAAUACAUAGGUCCCGAGCGUUGUCCGGAUUUAUUGGGCGUAAAGCGAGCGCAGGCGGUUUAAUAAGUCUGAAGUUAAAGGCAGUGGCUUAACCAUUGUUCGCUUUGGAAACUGUUAAACUUGAGUGCAGAAGGGGAGAGUGGAAUUCCAUGUGUAGCGGUGAAAUGCGUAGAUAUAUGGAGGAACACCGGUGGCGAAAGCGGCUCUCUGGUCUGUAACUGACGCUGAGGCUCGAAAGCGUGGGGAGCAAACAGGAUUAGAUACCCUGGUAGUCCACGCCGUAAACGAUGAGUGCUAGGUGUUAGGCCCUUUCCGGGGCUUAGUGCCGCAGCUAACGCAUUAAGCACUCCGCCUGGGGAGUACGACCGCAAGGUUGAAACUCAAAGGAAUUGACGG
rnacentral:rRNA from 1 species